GGGUUGUGAGGUUAAGCGACUAAGCGUACACGGUGGAUGCCCUGGCAGUCAGAGGCGAUGAAGGACGUGCUAAUCUGCGAUAAGCGUCGGUAAGGUGAUAUGAACCGUUAUAACCGGCGAUUUCCGAAUGGGGAAACCCAGUGUGUUUCGACACACUAUCAUUAACUGAAUCCAUAGGUUAAUGAGGCGAACCGGGGGAACUGAAACAUCUAAGUACCCCGAGGAAAAGAAAUCAACCGAGAUUCCCCCAGUAGCGGCGAGCGAACGGGGAGGAGCCCAGAGCCUGAAUCAGUGUGUGUGUUAGUGGAAGCGUCUGGAAAGGCGCGCGAUACAGGGUGACAGCCCCGUACACAAAAAUGCACAUGCUGUGAGCUCGAUGAGUAGGGCGGGACACGUGGUAUCCUGUCUGAAUAUGGGGGGACCAUCCUCCAAGGCUAAAUACUCCUGACUGACCGAUAGUGAACCAGUACCGUGAGGGAAAGGCGAAAAGAACCCCGGCGAGGGGAGUGAAAAAGAACCUGAAACCGUGUACGUACAAGCAGUGGGAGCACGCUUAGGCGUGUGACUGCGUACCUUUUGUAUAAUGGGUCAGCGACUUAUAUUCUGUAGCAAGGUUAACCGAAUAGGGGAGCCGAAGGGAAACCGAGUCUUAACUGGGCGUUAAGUUGCAGGGUAUAGACCCGAAACCCGGUGAUCUAGCCAUGGGCAGGUUGAAGGUUGGGUAACACUAACUGGAGGACCGAACCGACUAAUGUUGAAAAAUUAGCGGAUGACUUGUGGCUGGGGGUGAAAGGCCAAUCAAACCGGGAGAUAGCUGGUUCUCCCCGAAAGCUAUUUAGGUAGCGCCUCGUGAAUUCAUCUCCGGGGGUAGAGCACUGUUUCGGCAAGGGGGUCAUCCCGACUUACCAACCCGAUGCAAACUGCGAAUACCGGAGAAUGUUAUCACGGGAGACACACGGCGGGUGCUAACGUCCGUCGUGAAGAGGGAAACAACCCAGACCGCCAGCUAAGGUCCCAAAGUCAUGGUUAAGUGGGAAACGAUGUGGGAAGGCCCAGACAGCCAGGAUGUUGGCUUAGAAGCAGCCAUCAUUUAAAGAAAGCGUAAUAGCUCACUGGUCGAGUCGGCCUGCGCGGAAGAUGUAACGGGGCUAAACCAUGCACCGAAGCUGCGGCAGCGACGCUGAUGCGUUGUUGGGUAGGGGAGCGUUCUGUAAGCCUGUGAAGGUGUACUGUGAGGUAUGCUGGAGGUAUCAGAAGUGCGAAUGCUGACAUAAGUAACGAUAAAGCGGGUGAAAAGCCCGCUCGCCGGAAGACCAAGGGUUCCUGUCCAACGUUAAUCGGGGCAGGGUGAGUCGACCCCUAAGGCGAGGCCGAAAGGCGUAGUCGAUGGGAAACAGGUUAAUAUUCCUGUACUUGGUGUUACUGCGAAGGGGGGACGGAGAAGGCUAUGUUGGCCGGGCGACGGUUGUCCCGGUUUAAGCGUGUAGGCUGGUUUUCCAGGCAAAUCCGGAAAAUCAAGGCUGAGGCGUGAUGACGAGGCACUACGGUGCUGAAGCAACAAAUGCCCUGCUUCCAGGAAAAGCCUCUAAGCAUCAGGUAACAUCAAAUCGUACCCCAAACCGACACAGGUGGUCAGGUAGAGAAUACCAAGGCGCUUGAGAGAACUCGGGUGAAGGAACUAGGCAAAAUGGUGCCGUAACUUCGGGAGAAGGCACGCUGAUAUGUAGGUGAAGCGACUUGCUCGUGGAGCUGAAAUCAGUCGAAGAUACCAGCUGGCUGCAACUGUUUAUUAAAAACACAGCACUGUGCAAACACGAAAGUGGACGUAUACGGUGUGACGCCUGCCCGGUGCCGGAAGGUUAAUUGAUGGGGUUAGCGCAAGCGAAGCUCUUGAUCGAAGCCCCGGUAAACGGCGGCCGUAACUAUAACGGUCCUAAGGUAGCGAAAUUCCUUGUCGGGUAAGUUCCGACCUGCACGAAUGGCGUAAUGAUGGCCAGGCUGUCUCCACCCGAGACUCAGUGAAAUUGAACUCGCUGUGAAGAUGCAGUGUACCCGCGGCAAGACGGAAAGACCCCGUGAACCUUUACUAUAGCUUGACACUGAACAUUGAGCCUUGAUGUGUAGGAUAGGUGGGAGGCUUAGAAGUGUGGACGCCAGUCUGCAUGGAGCCGACCUUGAAAUACCACCCUUUAAUGUUUGAUGUUCUAACGUUGACCCGUAAUCCGGGUUGCGGACAGUGUCUGGUGGGUAGUUUGACUGGGGCGGUCUCCUCCUAAAGAGUAACGGAGGAGCACGAAGGUUGGCUAAUCCUGGUCGGACAUCAGGAGGUUAGUGCAAUGGCAUAAGCCAGCUUGACUGCGAGCGUGACGGCGCGAGCAGGUGCGAAAGCAGGUCAUAGUGAUCCGGUGGUUCUGAAUGGAAGGGCCAUCGCUCAACGGAUAAAAGGUACUCCGGGGAUAACAGGCUGAUACCGCCCAAGAGUUCAUAUCGACGGCGGUGUUUGGCACCUCGAUGUCGGCUCAUCACAUCCUGGGGCUGAAGUAGGUCCCAAGGGUAUGGCUGUUCGCCAUUUAAAGUGGUACGCGAGCUGGGUUUAGAACGUCGUGAGACAGUUCGGUCCCUAUCUGCCGUGGGCGCUGGAGAACUGAGGGGGGCUGCUCCUAGUACGAGAGGACCGGAGUGGACGCAUCACUGGUGUUCGGGUUGUCAUGCCAAUGGCACUGCCCGGUAGCUAAAUGCGGAAGAGAUAAGUGCUGAAAGCAUCUAAGCACGAAACUUGCCCC
rnacentral:rRNA from 1 species